UACGUAGGUGGCAAGCGUUAUCCGGAAUUAUUGGGCGUAAAGAGCGCGCAGGUGGUUGAUUAAGUCUGAUGUGAAAGCCCACGGCUUAACCGUGGAGGGUCAUUGGAAACUGGUCGACUUGAGUGCAGAAGAGGGAAGUGGAAUUCCAUGUGUAGCGGUGAAAUGCGUAGAGAUAUGGAGGAACGCCAGUGGCGAAGGCGGCUUCCUGGUCUGUAACUGACGCUGAGGCUCGAAAGCGUGGGGAGCAAACAGGAUUAGAUA
rnacentral:rRNA from 1 species